rnacentral:rRNA from 1 species
GCUGGCGGCGCGCCUAACACAUGCAAGUCGAACGAGCGAGAGAGAGCUUGCUUUCUCGAGCGAGUGGCGAACGGGUGAGUAACGCGUGAGGAACCUGCCUCAAAGAGGGGGACAACAGUUGGAAACGACUGCUAAUACCGCAUAAGCCCACGGGUCGGCAUCGACCAGAGGGAAAAGGAGCAAUCCGCUUUGAGAUGGCCUCGCGUCCGAUUAGCUAGUUGGUGAGGUAACGGCCCACCAAGGCGACGAUCGGUAGCCGGACUGAGAGGUUGAACGGCCACAUUGGGACUGAGACACGGCCCAGACUCCUACGGGAGGCAGCAGUGGGGAAUAUUGCACAAUGGGGGAAACCCUGAUGCAGCGACGCCGCGUGGAGGAAGAAGGUCUUCGGAUUGUAAACUCCUGUUGUUGAGGAAGAUAAUGACGGUACUCAACAAGGAAGUGACGGCUAACUACGUGCCAGCAGCCGCGGUAAAACGUAGGUCACAAGCGUUGUCCGGAAUUACUGGGUGUAAAGGGAGCGCAGGCGGGAAGACAAGUUGGAAGUGAAAUCUAUGGGCUCAACCCAUAAACUGCUUUCAAAACUGUUUUUCUUGAGUAGUGCAGAGGUAGGCGGAAUUCCCGGUGUAGCGGUGGAAUGCGUAGAUAUCGGGAGGAACACCAGUGGCGAAGGCGGCCUACUGGGCACCAACUGACGCUGAGGCUCGAAAGUGUGGGUAGCAAACAGGAUUAGAUACCCUGGUAGUCCACACCGUAAACGAUGAUUACUAGGUGUUGGAGGAUUGACCCCUUCAGUGCCGCAGUUAACACAAUAAGUAAUCCACCUGGGGAGUACGACCGCAAGGUUGAAACUCAAAGGAAUUGACGGGGGCCCGCACAAGCAGUGGAGUAUGUGGUUUAAUUCGACGCAACGCGAAGAACCUUACCAAGUCUUGACAUCCUGCGACGCACAUAGAAAUAUGUGUUUCCUUCGGGACGCAGAGACGGGUGGUGCAUGGUUGUCGUCAGCUCGUGUCGUGAGAUGUUGGGUUAAGUCCCGCAACGAGCGCAACCCUUACUGUCAGUUACUACGCAAGAGGACUCUGGCAGGACUGCCGUUGACAAAACGGAGGAAGGUGGGGAUGACGUCAAAUCAUCAUGCCCUUUAUGACUUGGGCUACACACGUACUACAAUGGCGUUAAACAAAGAGAAGCAAGACCGCGAGGUGGAGCAAAACUCAGAAACAACGUCCCAGUUCGGACUGCAGGCUGCAACUCGCCUGCACGAAGUCGGAAUUGCUAGUAAUCGUGGAUCAGCAUGCCACGGUGAAUACGUUCCCGGGCCUUGUACACACCG